rnacentral:lncRNA from 1 species
UCAACUAUCGUGUCGUGCCCGUGCUGUGCCGGGUUUUGAUCGUGUCGUGCCAUGCCGUGCCGUGUUAAGCCAAUUAUCGUGCCGUGCCCGUGCCGUACUCCACCAUUUUCGUGCCCCGUGCCCGUACCCGUGCCCGCUCAGACCGUGCCAUGCCAUGCCGUGCCCAACUUAUACCGUGCCAAAAUCGUGCCCGUGCCGAGUUUUUUCGU